AGGCACAGUCACUAAUAGUAGAGUGACUGAAAUCAGGGAUGCUGAAGAAGCUAGAAUUGGAGGAAUGCGGAUGGUUGAGAGGAUAAUGGAGCUGGAUGAGAUUACAGAGAAAGGUGUGGAGCAAGGGGGCUGCAGCCCGGUACAGAGUGUGACAGUAGCCAGCAGUCAGACCACAUGGACCCCUGCACUGCUCUGCUGAAGAGAGCACUUGGAGAAAGACUGUGAUGUUUGUCUUUUUAACUUUGUUGUUUUUCUGACCUAUGGUUAUACUGCAUAUAGCUGUAAUGUAAUUUUUUUCUUCAUUAUUCUGUAAUUAAGGAUUGUAUCUAGGUACUGUGUACCUAAGAUGGCACCGUGUAUUGGUGACAUUGGUAUACUGUAACAAAUCAGUAACUGAAGAAGCUUAAAAUGGCACUAAGUAGUGACUUAUAAACUUUUCAUUGUACUCAUUUGAAUACAUGUGACAAUAAAACUAAUUCAAUAAAGCUAAUUAAAUACAA